GUCGAACGGUAACGCGGGGCAACCUGGCGACAAGUGGCGAACGGGUGAGUAAUGUAUCGAAACGUGCCCAGUAGGGGGGGAUAGCCCGGCGAAAGCCGGAUUAAUACCGCAUACGACCUGAGGGUGAAAGCGGGGGAUCGCAAGACCUCGCGCUAUUGGAGCGGCCGAUAUCAAAUUAGGUAGUGGGGGGGGUAAAGGCCUACCAAGCCGACAAUCUGUAGCUGGUCUGAGAGGACAACCAGCCACACUGGGACUGAGACACGGCCCAAACUCCUACAGGAGGCAGCAGGGGGGAAUUUUGGACAAGGGGCGCAAGCCUGAUCCAGCCAUGCCGCGUGUCUGAAAAAGGCCUUCGGGUUGUAAAGGACUUUUGUCAGGGAGCAAAUCCUGAUGGUUAAUAUCCAUCGGGGAUGAGAGUACCUGAAGAAUAAGCACCGGCUAACUACGUG
rnacentral:rRNA from 1 species